UACGAAGGGGGCUAGCGUUGUUCGGAUUUACUGGGCGUAAAGCGCACGUAGGCGGAUCGUUAAGUCGAGGGUGAAAUCCUGGAGCUCAACUCCAGAACUGCCUUCGAUACUGGCGAUCUUGAGUCCGGAAGAGGUGAGUGGAACUCCUAGUGUAGAGGUGAAAUUCGUAGAUAUUCGCAAGAACACCAGUGGCGAAGGCGGCUCACUGGCCCGGAACUGACGCUGAGACGCGAAAGCGUGGGGGAGCAAAACAGG
rnacentral:rRNA from 1 species